UUUACCUGGUUUGAUCCUGCCAGUAGUCAUAUGCUUAUCUCAAAGAUUAAGCCAUGCAUGUGCUAGUACGAGCCUUCCUUAGAGCGAAACCGCAAACGGCUCAUUAAAACGGUCUUAAUCUACUUGAAACGGUUAUCCUACUCGGAUAACUGUGGCAAUUCUAGAGCUAAUACGUGCAAUUAAGUUCUGACGUCCCGUUGCGGCGCCGCGAGGCCCGCUGCGUGGCGAAAGGGCGCAAUGAUUAGAGCCAUAAACCGAGUUCCGGGCGGCUUCGGCGUCUCGGAGAUUCCCGAAAACUUGGCUUGUGGCGACUCUGGAUUUUGUUGCCAAGCGCUUAGGCCAUCGAGCCGGCGCAUUAUCAUUUCGAGAGACCUACCUAUCAGCUGCCGACUGGAGGCUAUGUGCCUACGGUGGCAGUAACGGGUAACGGGGAAUCAGGGUUCGAUUCCGGAGAGGGAGCCUGAGAAAUGGCUACCACAUCUAAGGAAGGCAGCAGGCACGCAAAUUACCCAUCCCGGUUCGGGGAGGUAGUAACGAGAGAUACUGAUGUGGGACUCUUCCGAGGCCUCGCAAUCGGAAUGAGUUUCCCACAAAUCAUUAUCCAAUGAGCUAUUGGAGGGCAAGUCUGGUGCCAGCAGCCGCGGUAAUUCCAGCUCCUAUAGCGUAUAUUAAAGUUGCUGCGGUUAAAAAGCUCGUAGUUGGACUUUGAGUCAAUACCUGCGGCCCACCAAGGCGUGCACUCGGACUCGGAAAACUGCUUUUGGCGCUCUUAGCGACGGUCGUCGUAGCCUCGCCACCUCCUCGCCGCCCCCUUCGCGCCCCAUACCGCCGUCAGGUGGGUGGGGUCGCUUAGCGGGGUCCGGUUAGCAGCGUCGGCGAUCGCUAUUACGCCGCCCCGCUUCGACGUCUCCGGGCUUCUUCCUACCCGCGUCGCUCGCGUCAGGUGGUUCAACCGCGAGGAUAUUGAUUUUGCCGAUGGCUCGCACGAGGUGCUCUUUACCGAGUGUCUCGCGUGGCCGUCGACAAUCACUUUGAAAAAAUUAGAGUGCUCAAAGCAGGCAUACAAUCGUACGCCUGAAUAAUAAUCCAUAGAAUGAUGGAACAGGACCUCGGUUCAGCAAUCGUUUCGCUCGGUUCUCCUCGAACCAGAGGUAAUGAUUAACGGGGGCGGACGGGGGCAUCAGUAUUGCGGCGCGAGAGGUGAAAUUCUAUGACCGUCGCAAGACUACCUACUGCGAAAGCAUUUGCCAAGAACGCUUUCAUUAAUUAAGAACGAAAGUUAGAGGAUCGAAGGCGAUCAGAUACCGCCCUAGUUCUAACCAUAAACGAUACUAACCAGCGAUCCGCAUGAGUCAUACCCACGACUUGGCGGGAAUCCCCCGGGAAACCAAAGUUUUUGAGUUCCGGGGGGAGUAUGGUUGCAAAGCUGAAACUUAAAGGAAUUGACGGAAGGGCACCACCAGGAGUGGAGCCUGCGGCUUAAUUUGACUCAACACGGGAAACCUCACCAGGCCCAGACACUAUAAGGAUUGACAGAUUGAGAGCUCUUUCUCGAUUCGGUGGUUGGUGGUGCAUGGCCGUUCUUAGUUGGUGGAGCGAUUUGUCUGGUUAAUUCCGAUAACGAACGAGAUUCUACCCUACUAAGUAGUCGGAGGAUCGUAUCCCGAGGCGGGUAAACCCCUCUCCGCGGAGAGUUACGCGACGCGGGGCCGGGCCGCUGCCGGUCUCCGCCGUCCCCGCCGGUGCCGCCGCUGCCGCUGCUGCUGCGUCCUCCGUCGCUUCGGCGGCGGGGUGCGUACGUAGUACGGCGCGCGCGCGCUUCGGUCGGAGGCGGUUGGCGGCUUUAGUGGUUGUCCGCGCCGCGCCCGCGCGCUCUUUCGCGGGGGGCCCCCCGAGGGGCGUCCUUCGCAAUUCUUCUUAGAGGGAUCGGCGGCUUCUAGUCGCAAGAGAGAGAGCAAUAACAGGUCUGUGAUGCCCUUAGAUGUUCUGGGCCGCACGCGCGCUACAAUGAAGGGCGCAGCGUGCUUGCCUCCUCCGAGAGGAGCGGGGAACCCGGUCAAACCCCUUCCCGAUUGGGAUUGGGGAUUGCAAGUGUUUCCCAUAAACGAGGAAUUCCCAGUAAGCGCGGGUCCUGAGCUCGCGAUGAUUAAGUCCCUGCCCUUUGUACACACCGCCCGUCGCUACUACCGAUUGAAUGAUUCAGUGAGGGCGUUGGACCGGCGCCCCUAGGUUUUACCCCUCGACCGUUCGUCGUUUUACGACGGAGGACGAACGGGUGACCGGGGGCUCGACGGAAAGACGUCCGAACUGGAUCAUUAGAGGAAGUAAAAGUCGUAACAAGGUUUC
rnacentral:rRNA from 1 species